GUCUAUGGCCAUGCCACCCUGAAUGUGCCUGAUCCCAUCUGAUCUUGGAAGCUAAGCAGGGUUGGGCCUGGUUAGUACUGGGAUGGGAGACCACCUAGGAAGACCAGGUGCUGUAGGUG
rnacentral:rRNA from 1 species